rnacentral:rRNA from 1 species
UGGGGAAUAUUGCACAAUGGGGGAAACCCUGAUGCAGCGACGCCGCGUGAGCGAAGAAGGUUUUCGAAUCGUAAAGCUCUGUCCUAUGAGAAGAUAAUGACGGUAUCAUAGGAGGAAGCACCGGCUAAAUACGUGCCAGCAGCCGCGGUAAUACGUAUGGGGCGAGCGUUGUCCGGAAUUAUUGGGCGUAAAGGGUACGUAGGCGGUCUAUUAAGUCAGGUGUGAAAGCGUGAGGCUUAACCUCAUUAAGCACUUGAAACUGAUAGACUUGAGUGAAGGAGAGGAAAGUGGAAUUCCUAGUGUAGCGGUGAAAUGCGUAGAUAUUAGGAGGAAUACCGGUGGCGAAGGCGACUUUCUGGACUUUUACUGACGCUCAGGUACGAAAGCGUGGGGAGCAAACAGG